rnacentral:rRNA from 1 species
AACGUAGGAGACAAACGUUAUCCGGAGUUACUGGGCGUAAAGGGCGUGCAGGCGGCAGUCUAAGUCUGGCGUGAAAUAUCCCGGCUUAACCGGGGAAGGUCGUCGGAUACUGGGCAGCUCGAGGGCGGUAGAGGCGUGUGGAAUUCCGGGUGUAGUGGUGAAAUGCGUAGAGAUCCGGAGGAACACCAGUGGCGAAGGCGACACGCUGGGCCGCACCUGACGCUAAGACGCGACAGCAUGGGGAGCGAACAGG